rnacentral:lncRNA from 1 species
UUUGUAAAGUUCUUUAAGAACUUAACCAAAAAAUAUAUUGGUUUAAAUUCCAUUAACGUAAAGAUACAUUAUCUUUUGUAACAUCGAAAUUUACUAUAAGGAAUUAUUAAUUUCACAGUAAUAGAAUUUUAAAAAAUCCUGCUUAAAUGAACGAGUGUUACUUAAUCCAAAAGUGUAGUACGACAUUGGCUUCUUCAUAUGGUUUAUUUGAUAAAAGUUUGGAUGAUAUGGUUUAUUUGAUAAAUGUUUUAAUAAAAUGUAUGUAUACUUAAAUAAUCAAUUUUAGAUUGUUAUGUUAUUUAACGAAGUUUAGAAAACAAAUUGUAAAUUGAUUCAUUUUUCACAUUAUCUAAAUCAAUAGGUUUAAAAAUAUAUAAAAAAAUACCAACACACUCAAAAAC